rnacentral:rRNA from 1 species
GAUGAACGCUGGCGGCGUGCCUAAUACAUGCAGGUCGAACGCUGAAGGAAGGAGCUUGCUCUUUCCGGAUGAGUUGCGAACGGGUGAGUAACGCGUAGGUAACCUGCCUGGUAGCGGGGGAUAACUAUUGGAAACGAUAGCUAAUACCGCAUAACAGUUGGUGUUGCAUGAUUUCUACUUAAAAGGUGCAAUUGCACCACUACCAGAUGGACCUGCGGUGUAUUAGCUAGUUGGUGAGGUAACGGCUCACCAAGGGGACGAUACAGUACCCGCCCGAGGGGGGGAUCGGCCACACUGGGAAUGAGACCCGGCCCAGGCUCCUUAGGGAGGCAGCAGGAGGGAAACUUCGGGAAUGGGCGGAAGUCUGAACGGGGAACGGCGGGGGAGUGAAGAAGGUUCUCGGAUCGGAAAGCUCCGUUGUAAGGGAAGAACGAGAGUGAGAGUUGAAAGUUCACACUGUGACGGUAUCUUACCAGAAAGGGACGGCUAACUACGUG